rnacentral:rRNA from 1 species
GACGAACGCUGGCGGCGUGCCUAAUACAUGCAAGUCGAACGCACUGACGGAGAACUUGUUCUCUUGACGUGAGUGGCGCACGGGUGAGUAACACGUGGGAAACCUACCUUCAGCGGGGGAUAACCAUCGGAAACGAUGACUAAUACCGCAUAGACGACAGAACCGCCUGGUUCAAUCGGGAAAGACGGCUUCGGCUGUCACUGAAGGAUGGUCCCGCGCUGCAUUAGCUAGUGUAGUACGCUACAGCAUGAUGCAUAGCCGACCUGAGAGGGUGAUCGGCCACAUUGGGACUGAGACACGGCCCAAACUCCUACGGGAGGCAGCAGUAGGGAAUCUUCCGCAAUGGACGCAAGUCUGACGGAGCAACGCCGCGUGUGUGAAGAAGGUUUUCGGAUCGUAAAGCACUGUUAUUAGAGAAGAACAGCCGAUAGAGUAACUGUU